AAUAGUUUAAUGCCACAUCAGUAUUCUUAUCCUGAAUUUCAGGAUUUUAUCCUGAAAAAAAUCAAAUCCAAAUUAAAAUCCUGAAAUUCAGGAUUUUAAUACUGAUGUGGCAUAAAACUAUU
rfam:Gossypium arboreum cultivar AKA8401 contig_11028_3, whole genome shotgun sequence.